rnacentral:tRNA from 1 species
GCGCCGGUGGUGCAGAGCAUUCCCGCCCGGUCAGAGGGAGGUGCGGGUUCGAGUCCCGUCUGGCGCU